rnacentral:rRNA from 1 species
CCUACGGGGGGCAGCAGUGGGGAAUAUUGCACAAUGGGGGGAACCCUGAUGCAGCGACGCCGCGUGAGUGAAGAAGUAUUUCGGUAUGUAAAGCUCUGUCAGCAGGGAAGAAGAAAGACGGUACCUGACCAAGAAGCCCCGGCUAACUACGUGCCAGCAGCCGCGGUAAUACGUAGGGGGCAAGCGUUAGCCGGAUGUACUGGGUGUAAAGGGAGCUUAGACGGCAGGGCAAGUCUGGAGUGAAAGGGAGGGGCCCAACCCCUGGACUGCUCUGGAAACUGGCCGGCUGGAGUGCAGGAGAGGUAAGUGGAAUUCCUAGUGUAGCGGUGAAAGGCGUAGAUAUUAGGAGGAACACCAGUGGCGAAGGCGGCUUACUGGACUGUAACUGACGUUGAGGCUCGAAAGCGUGGGGAGCAAACAGGAUUAGAUACCCCGGUAGUC